rnacentral:rRNA from 1 species
GACGAGCGCUGGCGGCGUGCUUAACACAUGCAAGUCGAACGGAAAGGCCCUGCUUUUGUGGGGUGCUCGAGUGGCGAACGGGUGAGUAACACGUGAGUAACCUGCCCUUGACUUUGGGAUAACUUCAGGAAACUGGGGCUAAUACCGGAUAGGAGCUCCUGCUGCAUGGUGGGGGUUGGAAAGUUUCGGCGGUUGGGGAUGGACUCGCGGCUUAUCAGCUUGUUGGUGGGGUAGUGGCUUACCAAGGCUUUGAUGGGUAGCCGGCCUGAGAGGGUGACCGGCCACAUUGGGACUGAGAUACGGCCCAGACUCCUACGGGAGGCAGCAGUGGGGAAUAUUGCACAAUGGGCGGAAGCCUGAUGCAGCAACGCCGCGUGCGGGAUGACGGCCUUCGGGUUGUAAACCGCUUUCGCCUGUGACGAAGCGUGAGUGACGGUAAUGGGUAAAGAAGCACCGGCUAACUACGUG